UAUUGGGUAUGAAGUCAUAUGGACCUAAGGUUUGGUGUGAGUGUUUUACACAUAAGGAUAAUAGGCCUAGCAGAUGAUUAAGUCGAAAUUAUUGAAGUGAUAAGGUUUUCAUAAGUCAAAAGGUGAAAUGAUGAGAUGAAAGGUGUCAACUUUUGACAAUAAGGCUAAAUCAUUGAAAAUAAGGAAUUUUCAUCAACCUUAUCACUUUGCACGACCAUUAUUCUGAAAAACAGAGAGAAAAGAAAACCAAAAACCAUUUCUUGGCUGGUUUGAAGAAAUUCUAAGGAGAUCCAAGUGAAAUCAAAGCCAAAGAAGUAGAUUAAGCUUAGUUCUAGCCUUUUUAUGAUAUUUCUUGGGGUUUCCAAGUGGUUGGAGGUUUAGAAAAGCUUGAAGAGAUUGUUUUCGCCGAAAAGUUGCUCGGAUAAGCAUAUCAAUACCUAAGACAUCACUUGUUACACGGUGAAAUAUAUUGUGGACAAAAGUGUGUGGCCGCCUUAACUCUUGAGCCUGACGGGGCAACGAUGGAAUAAUGUUUUUAAUGUGCCCUACUGUGGUGAAGGCUAGCCGGAGGAGAACCCAUGGGAUUUUGUAUUAUAUGUGUAACAAGCCCUGCAGGCAUUGACCAAUUCAAACAGUGUGCACAAUAUUAAGGGGCCCAAAAUUUAAAAAGAAGUUGUAUAUGUCCAUUGAUAUUGGGUAAUCAUUAGCAUUGCAUGCAUUACUUUGCUUACUGAGCUUUAGGCUCACAGUUGUCUUGUG